GAAAGUACGGUGGGCCGAACCCGCCAACGGGAAGGGCGAGCCGCCUAAAGUAGUGAUCGGUAAUUGGGGUGG
rnacentral:rRNA from 1 species